GAUGAAGAACGUAGCGAAAUGCGAUAAGUAAUGUGAAUUGCAGAAUUCAGUGAAUCAUCGAAUCUUUGAACGCACAUUGCGCCCGCCAGUAUUCUGGCGGGCAUGCCUGUUCGAGCGUCAUUACAACCCUCAGGCCCCCGGGCCUGGCGUUGGGGAUCGGCGGAGCGCCCCCUGCGGGCACACGCCGUCCCCCAAAUACAGUGGCGGUCCCGCCGCAGCUUCCAUUGCGUAGUAGCUAACACCUCGCAACUGGAGAGCGGCGCGGCCACGCCGUAAAACACCCAACUUCUGAAUGUUGACCGCGAAUCAGGUAGGACUACCCGCUGAACUUAAGCAUAUCAAUAAGCGGAGGA
rnacentral:misc_RNA from 1 species